GUUUCUUCUUUCUUAUGUGCCAGUUGCUGUGCUGAGGAUAUGAAGCUAAAUAAGCCUCUCUCCUUUUCCUCAUGAAGCUCAAAAGCUUAGAUAGGAAGCAAAUAAAUAUAAUAUAGCAUGAUAAUUGCAAGAAUAUUAACAUGUCCAAAAGUUAAAGAGAGAAAGCAUAAAGAAGAAAGUGAUGAGCUCUGAGGGGUUGAGGCUUUUGCUCUCUCUUAAAUUGAUUGCUAUUUAGCACCCAUCAAAAGCUCUGCAGAGGGGACCAUCAUUAACGGCAUUUACGAAGACAUCCACUUAUUCCAACAGGAGGAAGACCAACGCUUCUUAUCAUAAACACAAGUUCCUGCUAUACACAACACAUCCUUGAAUUCUAGGGAAGCCAAGAUGUACAUGAAAUGACUGCAGGUCUUAAAGGUCUUGAAUCUAAUUGUGGCACUGGGGCAUAUGUAGAGAUAAAUAUCACGUAGCAUAUGCUAAGGUGAUUUCGAAGAUCUAUUCUAUCUUAAGACACUGUAAGUCUAAUUAUUAAAUGAGCAAUACAGACAUUUAGUCAAAGUGUGUUCUGUUUUGAGGGAGCUGCUUA
rnacentral:lncRNA from 1 species